CAGUCGCCGCGUAAUACGGAGGGGGCUAGCGUUGUUCGGAAUUACUGGGCGUAAAGCGCACGUAGGCGGCUUGGUAAGUUAGAGGUGAAAGCCCGGAGCUCAACUCCGGAAUUGCCUUUAAGACUGCCGAGCUAGCAGGUGAGAGAGGUAAGUGGAAUUCCGAGUGUAGAGGUGAAAUUCGUAGAUACUCGGAAGAACACCAGUGGCGAAGGCGGCUUACUGGCUCAUACUGGACGCUGAGGUGCGAAAGCGUGGGGAGCAAACAGGAUUAGAUACCCCCGUAGUCCCUGUCUCUUAUACA
rnacentral:rRNA from 1 species